UCAAGAACAACUUAAUGAGCCUCAGAACUAGGUUACUGAUGGCACCAGAUGGGCAACCCUAGCACCCCUGUGCAUGGCAUUAAGGCUCACCGCUGUUCCAGUCCCAGCCAGCUGCAUCCAGGAUCCAGGGUCCCGUCCCAGCACAGCGUGUUCUCUUGUGGCGGUCCCUCUUUCACCAUGCUUCCAGCCCUUGGCAGUGUCCCACCAGCUCCACACCUCCCUCUGCUCCCGUCCACCAAGUAAGUUUUUAUCCGUGGUGAUAUCCCUGCCACAGCAAUCCCAAAGUCCCCAUCACAAUUCCCAUCCCAAAGAUAAGCCACAUGAAUCCUCCCCUCCCAUUCCUUUCCCUUUCCA